GUGCUCGCUUCAGCAGCACAUAUACUAAAAUUUUGGAACAAUACAGAGAAGAUUAGCAUGGCCCCUGCACAAGGAUGAUAUGCAAAUUUGUAAAGCAUUCCAUAUUUUU
ensembl:snRNA U6 U6 spliceosomal RNA